UGCUCCUCUAUAUUUCCUCAUGUCAAACUAAGAAAAAUAAAAUUCUCUCAACAUCCAACCCUAGCUGCCGAUGCUUUUAAGCCCUCGCCGCUGUGCUACGGUGACUUUACUGGCGAUACUUUGUAUCAAAAUAACCCACAACGCGUUCUCUUCUCUUCCAUCCGAACGAAUCUUCCGAAACAUGAAUAAGAACAAGCAAAACUAGAUUGGAGCAUUAGUCUCUUCACUUGUUGGAUCCACGUUGUUCAUCGUCGGAUAGGAUUGAAAUCACGCAUUGUUCCUCUUUUUGACUUAGGCUCCUUAUCUACCAUUUCAAUUCACCGGCGAAUGCUCCAACCGUCACCAACUUAAGAACCCGAUAAGGGUGAUUGAAUUCAAAUCUUCUGGCUCUAGAUUUUCUAUAUGGGGAAAUUCGUGGGUUUUUGUUUCUGUUUGAAUUGCCAGGUGGUAAUGAGGGUUUUUGUUUACUUUGUGCUCUUCGUCAUCACAUUGAACUUUCAUUGUAUUCAUCAAGAGUUGUAUCGCCUCACAAAAGAUUUUACAAAUUGAACAGCAUUGUAUCAUUUUCCAGAGAUAUCAACUGGAAGAUGCUCAUGAGUUCCUGCAAUGCAUGUUACAUAGGCUUGAAAGCUGUUGACUAAAGACCAAGAAUGAUUUGCCCUCUGUUGGUGAUUGCCUCGUUAAGAAGGUUUA